rnacentral:tRNA from 1 species
AGCCUUGGAGUGUGAACACGUAAGGUUGCAAACCUUAAGCAGCAGGGUAAUGCCUGCCGGGGCUU